UCCCUGGUGGUCCAGUGGCUAAGACUCUGCACUCCCAAUGCAGGGGGCCCAAGUUUGAUUCCUAAUCAAGGAA
rnacentral:tRNA from 1 species